rnacentral:rRNA from 1 species
GACGAACGCUGGCGGCGUGCUUAACACAUGCAAGUCGAACGAUGAACCCGGAGCUUGCUCCGGUGGAUUAGUGGCGAACGGGUGAGUAACACGUGAGUAACCUGCCCUUGACUCUGGGAUAACUGCGGGAAACUGUAGCUAAUACCGGAUACGACCCUCGGCGGCAUCGCCAGGGGGUGGAAAGAAUUUCGGUCAAGGAUGGACUCGCGGCCUAUCAGCUAGUUGGUGAGGUAACGGCUCACCAAGGCGACGACGGGUAGCCGGCCUGAGAGGGUGACCGGCCACACUGGGACUGGGACACGGCCCAGACUCCUACGGGAGGCAGCAGUGGGGAAUAUUGCACAAUGGGCGCAAGCCUGAUGCAACAACGCCGCGUGGGGGAUGACGGCCUUCGGGUUGUAAACCUCUUUUAGUAGGGAAGAAGCGAGAGUGACGGUACCUGCAGAAAAAGCACCGGCUAACUACGUGCCAGCCGCCGCCGUAA